rnacentral:rRNA from 1 species
CGACUACAUGAAGCUGGAAUCGCUAGUAAUCGCGAAUCAGAAUGUCGCGGUGAAUACGUUCCCGGGUCUUGUACACACCGCCCGUCACACCAUGGGAGUCGGAAAUGCCCGAAGUCAGUGACCUAACCGAAAGGGAGGAGCUGCCGAAGGUGGAGCCGGUAACUGGGGUGAAGUCGUAACAAGGUAUC